AAUACUUUGCACAAAAAAAAGGCCUCGACAGUUAAAGUGUACAAAUUAAAGGUUGACCAACCAUCACCCUUAUUAAAGCUGUUUUCAAACUACAGAACAUACACUCACAUAACAUGUGAAGCAGCAGACAGCCUGACUAAUUGACCAACCGAUCGCUAUGCCGGUGCUUCUUUACAAAAGGGCAAGAGUCCUACCUUCAUAUCUGGAACUGCCUCCUGCCUGGCAGGUCCAGCCUCAGCAUCCAUCCAUGGAGGUCACCACUACCCCUCCUCUGUACACGUCCAAGCCAUCUCUGUCCAGCCUCUCUUUAUCUCCUAUGCCUAUUUUUUAUUUUUAAAUAAAUUUUCUUUACAGCUUAUUCCCAGAUGUGCACGUUCUGUGCUGUCUUGCUGCUGUGACAAUUUCCCCCCUUAGGGAAUGAAUGACGUCUCAUCUCAAAGCCUCAGACCUUGACGUAUUCUUCUGUAAAUAUCGUUAAACUGCACUGCUUUUGCUCAUGUAAUCCCAACAAGCAAUACGUGAACUUAUUCGUUUAUUUUAUCACAGAAAAGAACACGUCAGAAGGCAUGUCGAGUAGAAAUUUUUAUUCUUUAUGGCUUGUUUGAAAGGAUUGUAAAAGGACAAUCUUACUGGAAAAGAAAUGGGGAAAAAAAAA